rnacentral:tRNA from 1 species
AUUUAAAUAGCUUAUUAAAUAGAGUAUAGUUUUGAAGCAGCUAAGGAAAUAAUUUUUAUUUUUAAAUA